GUUGCCUACGGGGCGCAGCAGUAAGGGAUAUUGGUCAAUGGGGGAAACCCUGAACCAGCAACGCCGCGUGAGGGAAGACGGGUUUCGGAUUGUAAACCUCUGUCCUCUGGGAGGAUGAUGACGGUAGCAGAGGAGGAAGCUCCGGCUAACUACGUGCCAGCAGCCGCGGUAAUACGUAGGAUGCGAGCGUUAUCCGGAAUUACUGGGUGUAAAGGGAGCGCAGGCGGGACUGCAAGUUGGAUGUGAAAUACCGCAGCUUAACU
rnacentral:rRNA from 1 species